UGCCAGCAGCCGCGGUAAUACGAAGGGGGCUAGCGUUGUUCGGAUUUACUGGGCGUAAAGGGCAUGUAGGCGGAUUGGUUAGUUGGAUGUGAAAGCCCAGGGCUCAACCCUGGAACUGCAUUCAAUACUGCCAGUCUAGAAUCCCAAAGGGGAGUGUGGAAUUCCUAGUGUAGAGGUGAAAUUCAUAGAUAUUUGGAGGAACACCAGUGGCGAAGGCGGCUCACUGGCUCGAUACUGACGCUGAGGUACGGAAGUGUGGGGAGCAAACAGGAUUAGAUA
rnacentral:rRNA from 1 species